GACGAACGCUGGCGGCGUGCUUAACACAUGCAAGUCGAACGGAAAGGCCUGCUUUCCCUUGUGGAUUGCGGGUACUCGAGUGGCGAACGGGUGAGUAACACGUGAGUGAUCUGCCCCCAACUUGGGUAUAAGCCUGGGAAACUGGGUCUAAUUCCCGAUAGGACUGCAGGGUGGCGCCUGUGGUGGAAAACGAUUUUCUAGUGGUUGGGGAUGAGCUCGCGGCCUAUCAGCUUGUUGGUGGGGUAAUGGCCUACCAAGGCGGCGACGGGUAGCCGGCCUGAGAGGGUGGACGGCCACAGUGAGACUGAGAUACGGCCCAGACUCCUACGGGAGGCAGCAGUGGGGAAUAUUGCACGAUGGGCGGAAGCCUGAUGCAGCGACGCCGCGUGGGGGAUGACGGCCUUCGGGUUGUAAACUCCUUUCGACCGCGAGGAAGCCACCUGGUUGGAAGGGUGGUGACGGUAGUGGUAGAAGAAGCACCGGCUAACUACGUG
rnacentral:rRNA from 1 species